rnacentral:rRNA from 1 species
GGGGAAUAUUGCACAAUGGGGGAAACCCUGAUGCAGCGACGCCGCGUGGAGGAAGAAGGUCUUCGGAUUGUAAACUCCUGUUGUUGGGGAAGAUAAUGACGGUACCCAACAAGGAAGUGACGGCUAACUACGUGCCAGCAGCCGCGGUAAAACGUAGGUCACAAGCGUUGUCCGGAAUUACUGGGUGUAAAGGGAGCGCAGGCGGGAAGACAAGUUGGAAGUGAAAUCUAUGGGCUCAACCCAUAAACUGCUUUCAAAACUGUUUUUCUUGAGUAGUGCAGAGGUAGGCGGAAUUCCCGGUGUAGCGGUGGAAUGCGUAGAUAUCGGGAGGAACACCAGUAGCGAAGGCGGCCUACUGGGCACCAACUGACGCUGAGGCUCGAAAGUGUGGGUAGCAAACAGGAUUAGAUACCCUGGUAGUCCACACCGUAAACGAUGAUUACUAGGUGUUGGAGGAUUGACCCCUUCAGUGCCGCAGUUAACACAAUAAGUAAUCCACCUGGGGAGUACGACCGCAAGGUUGAAACUCAAAGGAAUUGACGGGGGCCCGCACAAGCAGUGGAGUAUGUGGUUUAAUUCGACGCAACGCGAAGAACCUUACCAAGUCUUGACAUCCCUUGACAGGCAUAGAAAUAUGUUUUCUCUUCGGAGCAAGGAGACAGGUGGUGCAUGGUUGUCGUCAGCUCGUGUCGUGAGAUGUUGGGUUAAGUCCCGCAACGAGCGCAACCCUUAUGGUCAGUUACUACGCAAGAGGACUCUGGCCAGACUGCCGUUGACAAAACGGAGGAAGGUGGGGAUGACGUCAAAUCAUCAUGCCCUUUAUGACUUGGGCUACACACGUACUACAAUGGCGUUAAACAAAGAGAAGCAAGACCGCGAGGUGGAGCAAAACUCAGAAACAACGUCCCAGUUCGGACUGCAGGCUGCAACUCGCCUGCACGAAGUCGGAAUUGCUAGUAAUCGUGGAUCAGCAUGCCACGGUGAAUACGUUCCCG